UGUCUUCAGGGCAGGGUGUAAUUCCCGACCGGCGGUAAAGUCCGCGACCCAAAGUAUUUUGGUUGAAUCGGUGCAACUCCGAUACCGACAGUAUAGUCUGGAUGGAAGAAGAUG
rnacentral:ncRNA from 1 species